rnacentral:misc_RNA from 1 species
CUGAGUUAGGGUUUUUAUGGCCCGACCUCCAACCCUUUGUUUAUUAUACCAUGUUGCUUUGGCGGGCCUGCCUUUCGGGGCUGCCGGGGGCACUGCCGCCCCUGACUCGUGCCCGCCGGGAGCCUUCCUUAAAUUCGGCGUCAAACUGUGUUGUCUGAGUCCCAACAUCAAAUUAUAAA